rnacentral:rRNA from 1 species
UACGUAGGGCGCAAGCGUUGUCCGGAAUUAUUGGGCGUAAAGAGCUCGUAGGCGGUCUGUCGCGUCUGCCGUGAAAACCCGAGGCUUAACCUCGGGCUGGCGGUGGAUACGGGCAGACUAGAGGUAGGUAGGGGAGAAUGGAAUUCCCGGUGUAGCGGUGAAAUGCACAGAUAUCGGGAGGAACACCGGUGGCGAAGGCGGUUCUCUGGGCCUUACCUGACGCUGAGGAGCGAAAGCGUGGGGAGCGAACAGG